rnacentral:rRNA from 1 species
AACGAACGCUGGCGGCAGGCCUAAUACAUGCAAGUCGAGCGCGCCUUCGGGUGAGCGGCGGACGGGUGAGUAACGCGUGGGAAUGUGCCCUUCUCUGCGGAAUAGCCUCUGGAAACGGAGAGUAAUACCGCAUACGCCCUUUGGGGGAAAGAUUUAUCGGAGAAGGAUCAGCCCGCGUUAGAUUAGGUAGUUGGUGGGUAAUGGCCUACCAAGCCUACGAUCUAUAGCUGGUUUGAGAGGAUGAUCAGCCACACUGGGACUGAGACACGGCCCAGACUCCUACGGGAGGCAGCAGUGGGGAAUAUUGCACAAUGGGGGAAACCCUGAUGCAGCCAUGCCG